UACGGAGGGUGCGAGCGUUGUCCGGAAUCACUGGGCGUAAAGGGCGCGUAGGCGGCCUGAUAAGUAGGGGGUGAAAUCCUGCGGCUUAACCGCAGGGCUGCCUUCUAAACUGUCAGGCUAGAGCACGGUAGAGGCAGAUGGAAUUCCCGGUGUAGCGGUGGAAUGCGUAGAGAUCGGGAAGAACAUCAGUGGCGAAGGCGGUCUGCUGGGCCGACACUGACACUGAGAGACGAAAGCUAGGGGAGCGAAUGGG
rnacentral:rRNA from 1 species